CCCCUGUCUACUUCCAUGUCCAAUAGGUGCGAGAGGGCGGGGCAGCCUCGUUCUGACUGGGGAGGCUAUAUAAGGAGCUACUGGUUGCGCGUCUCGGUCUUUUACGUAGGCCUUCGUGAUCGUUUGGUUGUGUGGAACAAUGGCGCUGUCAUGGCCCAGCAGAGCAGCUCUGAAGAUGCAAAGAUACAUGAAAGAAUUCCAGAAUAUGCGGGAGAAUAUUUAAUGGAAAACCGCUUGGUUAAACCUGACACUCUUCAUGGCAUUCUGGGUGUGGACGAUCAGCCAGUGAAGAUAAUGAAUGUCGGAUGUCACUGACUAGCAGCUUCAUUUUGAAUGAGGGUCGCUGUCUGCCCAUUGAUAAGAGGCCAGAUUGUCUUGGAAGUUCCAAAGUUGCAACUAUUUCUGGCUAGUGCCACGAGGUUUACUUGACUGUUGUAUGAAAAGCUGAUAAGAAAACCAUCCAGAAAAAAAGCUCUUCGUUUUACAAACACGAAAAUAAAACACGUAAUUUUGGAUUA